CCCCUCAAGAUGAGAUUUCCCAUCGCGCAAGCGAGUAAGACCCCUUGUAGAUGACAAGGUUGAUAGGUCUGAGGUGGAAGCGUGGCAACACGUGCAGCUGACAGAUACUAAUCGGUCGAGGGCUUAUCCAA
rnacentral:rRNA from 1 species